UACGGGGGGGGCAAGCGUUGUUCGGAAUUACUGGGCGUAAAGGGCGCGUAGGCGGCCUGCUAAGUCGGACGUGAAAUCCCUCGGCUCAACCGGGGAACUGCGUCCGAUACUGGCGAGGCUUGAAUCCGGGAGAGGGAUGUGGAAUUCCAGGUGUAGCGGUGAAAUGCGUAGAUAUCUGGAGGAACACCGGUGGCGAAGGCGGCAUCCUGGACCGGUAUUGACGCUGAGGCGCGAAAGCUAGGGGAGCAAACGGG
rnacentral:rRNA from 1 species